GACGAACGCUGGCGGCGCGCUUAACACAUGCAAGUCGAGCGAGAACCUGGGCUUCGGCCCUGGGGACAGCGGCGAACGGGUGCGUAACACGUGGGUAAUCUGCCCUUGACAUCGGGAUAGCCCGGGGAAACCCGGAUUAAUACCGAAUAGCUUCCGGAGCCCUCGGGCGCCGGAGAAAAGGUAGCUUCGGCCUCUGUGCAAGGAUGAGCCAGCGGAGGAUUAGCUUGUUGGCGGGGUAACGGCCCACCAGGGCGACGAUCCGUAGCUGGUCUGAGAGGACGAUCAGCCACACUGGGACUGAGACACGGCCCAGACUCCUACGGGAGGCAGCAGUGGGGAAUCUUGCGCAAAUGCGGGAAACCGUGACGCAGCGACGCCGCGUGGGGGAAGAAGGCCUUCGGGUUGUAAACCUCUUUCAGGAGGGACGAAGCUACUCGGGUUAAUAGCCCAGAGGGUGACGGUACCUCCAGAAGAAGCCCCGGCUAACUACGUGCCAGCCGCCGCAGUAAAAC
rnacentral:rRNA from 1 species